UCAUAUACACUUUGCAGGCUCUGCGAUCAUAACAUAAGUCAAUAUUAUUAAAUCUAAACUUCACUGAGUGGUGCUAAUAAGGUGAUAUUAUUAUUUUUUUUAUUACUCACACUCGACAAUAUGUCUGAGUGUUCAAUGAUCCUUUUCAAGUCACUCUUUGAUAAACAGUGCCAGCCUUCAGGACAUGUCCAGUACGCUUCACUGUAGAAAAACAUUGAAUUCAUACUCCAAUUAAAACAAAUAUAUUUUUGUAAUUUUGCAUAAGCAAACUGUAAAGUUUUAUAUAAUUGAAACUUACUCUUCCUUUUUGUUCGGGCGGGCUUCAAACCAUUGUUUGUAGUGCAUUUUCAAAUCGUCGCCCAGUGAAUCCCAUGUACUGUUGUCACACUUCAGAUUCUUGAUUAUAAUUUUUUUGUGGACUUGAAUGUCUUUUGGAGUGCCGUACUCCCAGUCAAGGUCCUUUGUUUUCUUGGCGUUUCUAGGGUUCAGCUUCACAUUUUUUUCUAUCGAUAUCGGUUCCAUUGCUUUCCUCUUCUUGGAAUAAGUAUUCAUCUCUUUAUCCUCUGUUGUUGCUGUUUGUUUGGUCGAUGAAACUUGGAACUGAACUGUUGCAGAGAUGACAUUGUCCUUUUCUGUUGCUGAUUGUUGGAUGGAUGCAGCUUGGGACUCAACUAUCUUAUCUAAAUUACAGAUGUCAUCAUCUGUGAGCGGCAAGUCCUCAUAGUCGAUUACUGGAGAUACGUGAUUCAGUGGUUGUUCAUCAUGUAUCACAGCCUUCACAAAAUAAAAUAACACAUGUUAUUCUCAGAUUUUAAACAAUAAUAAAACGUUUACUACCCCUAGUAAUAGUUUGCCUGGGGUUUACUACCUUGCAACACAGUUUCCCUAUUAAGUCUACUACCCCCUAGUAAUUUUAUAUUCUCACCAAAGCUUCUGGUUGAUCAUCUGCAGAUUGUGUUGUUUGUGCAGUUCCAACUUUGAACUUGACUAUCAGGCUUCUGUUCUGGUU
rnacentral:lncRNA from 1 species